rnacentral:rRNA from 1 species
ACCCAACAGCUAGCCCCCACCCCAAAAAACAACAACUCCUCAUCAAUAACCCCAAAAACACGAACACACCAUAAACAAACCAUUUUUCCCCCCCAGUAUAGGUGAUAGAAAAGGGCCCCGGAGCCAUAGAAAAAGUACCGCAAGGGAACGCUGAAAGAGAAAUGAAACAACCCAGUAAAGCUUAAAAAAGCAGAGAU